UACGGGGGGGGGUAAGCGUUGUUCGGAAUUACUGGGCGUAAAGGGCUCGUAGGCGGCCAACUAAGUCAUACGUGAAAUCCCUCAGCUUAACUGGGGAACUGCGUGUGAUACUGGAUGGCUUGGAUUUGGGAGAGGGAUGCGGAAUUCCAGGUGUAGCGGUGAAAUGCGCAGAUAUCAGGAGGAACACCGGUGGCGAAGGCGGCGACCUGGUCCAAUACUGACACUCAUACACGAAAGCGUGGGGAUCAAACAGG
rnacentral:rRNA from 1 species